GGUGAGUAACACGUGGAUAACCUACCUAUAAGACUGGGAUAACUUCGGGAAACCGGAGCUAAUACCGGAUAAUAUUUUGAACCGCAUGGUUCAAAAGUGAAAGACGGUCCUGCUGUCACUUAUAGAUGGAUCCGCGCUGCAUUAGCUAGUUGGUAAGGUAACGGCUUACCAAGGCAACGAUGCAUAGCCGACCUGAGAGGGUGAUCGGCCACACUGGAACUGAGACACGGUCCAG
rnacentral:rRNA from 1 species